rnacentral:rRNA from 1 species
GCGGGGGCACGGGGGGCCUACGGGAGGCAGCAGUAAGGAAUAUUGGUCAAUGGACGGAAGUCUGAACCAGCCAUGCCGCGUGCAGGAAGACGGCCCUAUGGGUUGUAAACUGCUUUUGUACGGGAAUAAACCUUCGGUCGUGACCGAAGCUGAAUGUACGUAGAUAAGAUCAUUUCCC